GGCGCCGGCGCCGGCUCGAAGGAUACGCCUCUGGGCAGGAGGAGGCAUUUUUCCCUCCCGGGGGUCCCUGAGGCGGCCCCUGGGGAGAGGGAGGCGGGAGACUGAGAAGAGCGUCCCCUAAGUCACCUGGAACUGCUCGACACACACCUCCAGUGCAGAGAUCCAGCUCUGUGGGGGGAGUGGGCCCCGUGCACAAAUCUCCUUGCUCUCUCCCAUUAUACAGACCGAGAAGACCGAGGCUCGAAGGGAGCCUACGGCCGACGAGGGAGGCGGGGGUGGGUGGGUGAGUGUCGGAAACAAAGAACUUUUGGGGGGUUGAGACAGGUGCGAGGGUAAGGGGGAGGAAUCGCCCUCCUCCAGCCCCUCUCCCUUAGCUGAGUCUACAGCUCUCGGAGUUAGGAGCCCAGAGGGAUCCCAGGUGGGUCCGGGACAGGGGAGAGGGCGGGGGUCUGGGCCACCCCCGGGAGGGUGGGGGGAGGGGCGGCGGGAUUGACAGUCGGUAAUUGGGUAACUGGAGGCGGCUUCUCCGGCCGGGCGGCCCCGCCACCGCGACGCCGGGCCCCUGACGUCACCCGAUUCGCCAGGAAAUGAACUUUUUAAUAAUCCGAGGAGGGAGGAAAGCCUUCGGUCCCCUCGGCUCGGGGGGCUCCCGGCCAGGCCCAGCUUCGCGGGCGCGCCCCAGUCACCCUCUCGCAGGCCAGCUCUGGGCAGCGCCGGGGUGGGGGGGUGCGGGCACCGGCCAGGGGCCUCCUCCUGCCUAGGCGUCCGACUGUCCGUUCAUCUGUCCGAGGCCCUGGCUCAGCUUACGAUUCUUCAUCAACGCGUAAAAUGCGGUCGUCAGAACCUCGAGCCUGUUUUGCGUCCCUGGAGCCUAGCGGGAGCUUAUCAAAGACACCGCAGCCCCAGGGACAAUCCCGGGUGUCCGACAAGGCUGUCCCGUCAACCUGAACCCCGGGACCCAGAGCAGGAGGCAGCCAGCAGUUUGCCGGCGCCGGGGCCGUGAACGCUGGAGCCGAGCGGAAGCUUUCGGUAAGGCUGGGAUCCGCGCCUUGGCUCGCAGGGACGUGGCCGCUGCGGGCCCUCCGGAAAACAGAUUAUCGGAGCCCUUUCAGAGCGCGCACAACAAAUGCGCCCGCCAUCGAAUGCAUCAUUUACCACCGCAGAUCCGCGCGCUGAUGGGCAGGCAGAUAGCCGUCCGCGGGGGGCACGCCGGGCGCCCUGUGCCCGCGCCGCCUGCCUGCCUGCCUGCCUGCCGGGGGGUACCCGCCUGUGCGCCCCCGGGUGUACCCGGCGUGUUUGGAUGGACAUUCGCCUGUGCCAGUGGAUGGGCACUGAACAAGAAAGGGUAUUAAUGUGCAUGCGGGGAUGUCAAAGAAGUGUGCUACAGGAAAGUGCAGAUGUGCAAGCCCACAUGCACAUGCGUGGUGGGCAUCUGUCCCUGGAGCUGGCCCCGCUGAGGCUGUUUGAGGGAGCACAGAGGAAGGGAUGUUGCACGUGAGUGUGUAGGCAUGCAUAUUACUUGGGGUGGGUAGACACCUGUGUGAAGGAGUGGGUGUGUAAAUCUGUGUCUACAGGUGUGGUGACCGAGCGUAUUGUGUACGUAUCUGCCCUGGGUGAGGCUGUUUAGGAAUGCACACAGGGUGCGUGUGUAUGUGUAUAUUUGGACAUGGGUGUGUUAUUCUUCUGAGUGUUGUGUGCCUGCAGGUGUCCAACAGUACUCAGUGCUGUGGGUUCAUACCGGCCUGUAAGCACACCUGUGACUGCUGGGAGUGAGUGCGCAGGGUGUCAGUGUUCACCCGGUGUGCACAAAUCUGCACGAAGGCGGUUGCGUUGUUGUGUAUCUGUCUGCCUGGGUGUGCCGGGGUGUGCUGCAGAAGGGUCAAGAGGGAAGGGCAGUGGUUGGGUUGUGCCUGCGCCUGCACGUGUAGGCUCCGUACACACGAGCUGGGGAGCUGGGACCCCUCUCCAGCCUGGGGUAGAGCCAGCCAGCCAGGAGCGAAAGGUGUGUGCGGGUGUGAUAGACGCCAGUGUAAGGAAUGGAUGUGCUAAACGUUGUGUGCGGCUGUGUAAGGGAGAGGGGUCUUCAGAGGAGUUUGGGAACACCCAGGGGUCCCAUCCCGCCUCAGCAAGCACGCCCUUCCGGGGCCCCACAGCCUCCCCGCUCCGGACCUGAGGAAAGAGACUGGAGCCCCGCCGCCCGAGGUCCCCGCGCCGUGAGUGACACGCGCCGCCGACAAAGGCUGUAUUUUUCCAGGCUCGAGCCCCGCCCGCGUGCGCGCGGGGGCGCGCGCGCGCGCGAUAGUCCCCAUGGCGACGCAGAUAGCGCCGCAGCCAUUUUCCCUAUCUCCCCGGGGUCUAUUAUACGGCGGGAUUAGCUCAUCUCCAGGCAGGUCAAACCCAAAGUCACGCAACCUGCGGCGCGGGCCCCGCCUCCCCGCCUGGCUGCCCCUCCCCCGCCUGAGGGGUCCGGUGCGGCCCCCGCGACCCCCGAGUCGCGGCCCUUGCUCAGGCGCAGAGCGCCACCUGGCGACCGCCGGUGUCCUCAGUGGGGUCCCCGGGAGCCGGCAGCCUGAACCGGAGUCACCAGACAGAAGAGCUGGCGCAGGGGUCCUUUCCUCCCUGAGGUGGACUCUCCAGAAGCAGGAGCUUUGUUUUGUCACUGCUGUGUCCCCAGGGCUGGGCUGACACACAGUAGGUCUCCAUAAGUGCUUCCUUAAAGGAUAGAUGACUGGCAGGAAGUUAUAGACCUAGCAAACUGUCAAAGGUCACACUGCUUAGCUGGCAACAAGAAAUCAUUUCUUAGAAUGUAUCCACUGAAUUUAGGAUAAAAGCCAAACUCCUCUGGAAUCUGGGUAAUAGCCUUUGCUGAUCACUCAGACCUAUUUUCCCCCUUUCUUGAUCCAGUCAUAGUGGCAUUCUUUCUGUUCUUUGAACAAGCCAGAACAUUCCCACCCCAGGGCCUUUGUGUCUGCUGUUCCCACUACCCAGAGUGUAUACUGUCUCUGUUCAAAUGUCACCCGUCAGAGAGCGAAACUGAGCCUUCAGACUUUUCCUUUAGAGUAAGUACUUAGCACAAGUAAACUAGUCUCCGUUCUGUUUGCACAAGUUGCCAGCUUUCCUGCCCCACUGGAAUGCUAGGCUUCCUGGAGGAAAGGGAGUCAGUCUUGUUCCCCAGCAAGAGUCCAGGGCUGGAAACUCCUCUCGAGCUGAUCAGUAUCAGGCACAACUUUGGGAAUGAGUGAAUGGGGACAAGAGAAGGCCAGAGCAAGUGGGAUAGACUGUGCCCUGCUAUCAUGAUCAUUUUUCCUUAUCGUUAGACCAUUCCCCCCUACCCUGCCCCUGUCUUUUGCUCACCCUGGCCCCAGGAUGCCUGGCUCCACCAACCUCCCCUUCUGGUAAGUCCAGAGGGGCCUGGGACUUAAGGGAAAGAGCACCAUGGAGGCCCCUUGGCAAGGCGCGCCUGCCUUGCUUGUGGGGGCAGAGAACACUUAUCACCCUGUUUGUUCUCAAGGAGCCGUGGCCUCUCUGGAAAGGCCUGGGUCACCGGGUGAGACUUCACUCAUAAUACAAGAUAAUUAUACCCAAAUUGUCAUGAGGAGGUGAUUGCUAUGGGGACUGUGAAGUAACUAGAACUAGGGGACUGUGAAGUAACUAGAACUAGAGAAGGCCACAGCCCCCACUGAACUUCCAGGCCCGUCUCCAGGCCAAGCCUCAUCCUGCUCAGGGGGCUGGAGACAAACCCUGUGAGAGGCUUUGCCCAAGGACUUGGAGAAUCAGCUCCCUGUUCCCUCAGAAGUGCCCCAAUUCCCUCCCAGGAGAGGAGCUGUGGGUUAACACAGGCUCUUGGGCCAGGACUCCCCCCAACAUAUACUCAUACCCCUUCUGGCUGGGCGGCCUUAGGCAAGUCACUUUCCCACUCUGAGCCUCAAGUCUGCUUCUGCAAACUUCCCUCCAGAGUUAUGAGAAUUACUCAUAAGCAUGUAUUUAAAAGGAGUUUUGUGAUCCAGGCUUUGAAAAUUGGCAAUCCAAGUCUCAGGGGUCCAUGCAGUGACCAAUUGUCUCUAGCAUUUCAAAGUGGGAGAUUUCACAUAAAGAACUUCAUUUUCAGCUUCUUGAAAAUUUGGAAGAUUGGCCUGAUGAUGUAAUGCUGGAUUUCUGUGUCACUCGCCUCCUGUGCCCUGGGUCUUCACCCACCCACUUCAGGCCCACAGGUCAGGGAUGUGUCCCUCAUAGAAAUACCAUUUGCCGUAGCUGUGUUGGUUUUGGUCUUCCUUCUCUGUAUCCUUUGUGGAAUUUCCAAUAUCUUUCUCCCUCUAGGUACUGUAAACCACUUAAUAAUGAAUUAAUUAAUAAAUCCAAUCAACACUUUAAAAUAAUGUGUUCGGCCACACUGUUUUAGACCCUGGAUAUACAUACAGUACAAAUAAAAGAGAAACAGGGAACAGUCAGACAUAACCACACAGAUUAAUACAUCAUCACAAAUUGUGACAGAACUCUGAGGGGCAAAGAACAUGUAUUUACAGAUAUUGAAUCCAAGCGUAUUUGCAGAGGCCUACGUUGGGUCAGGUCAUGUGCUGAUAGGGGAGGGCAUGGGACAAAACAUGAUAUGGUCACUGUGUGCAGACAACUCAUAGGGUGGUGGAGGGGUAGGCACAUUAAGAGAUUCUGUUAAGGGGCGCCUGGGUGGCUCAGUGGGUUAAGCCUCUGCCUUUGGCUC